UACGGAGGGGGCUAGCGUUGUUCGGAAUUACUGGGCGUAAAGCGCACGUAGGCGGAUUUGUAAGUCAGGGUGAAAUCCCGGGGCUCAACCUCGGAACUGCCUUUGAUACUGCAAAUCUCGAGUCCGGAAGAGGUGAGUGGAAUUCCUAGUGUAGAGGUGAAAUUCGUAGAUAUUAGGAAGAACAACCAGUGGCGAAGGCGGCUCACUGGUCCGGUACUGACGCUGAGGUGCGAAAGCGUGGGGAGCAAACAGGG
rnacentral:rRNA from 1 species